rnacentral:misc_RNA from 1 species
AACUUUUAGCAACGGAUCACUUGGCUCUCGCAUCGAUGAAGAACGCAGCGAAAUGUGAUACGUAAUGUGAAUUGCAGAAUUCAGUGAAUCAUCGAAUCUUUGAACGCACCUUGCACCCUUUGGCAUUCCGAAGGGUAUGCUCGUUUGAGUGUCAUUGUACUCUCAUGCUCCCGAUGCUUUUGGAUCGGGAGUGGUGGACUUGGGUGUUGCUGCUUUACUGUGGCUCACCUCAAAUGGAGUAGUGCAACUCUUGGUUGGACAUAGUACGGCGUGAUAAGUGUCUUCGCCGGCGCCUCAUUAGAGGGUGGCCGAUCGGGAGCUCUGUGCUUCAAACCGUCUUCGGACAACAUCUGACAACUUGACCUCAAAUCGAGUAGGACUACCCGCUGAACUUAAGCAUAUCAAUAAGCGGAGGCU